GGGUUGUUAGCUCAGUUGGCAGAGUAGGUGACUCUUAAUCAUUAGGUCGGGGGUUCGAGCCCCCCACAACCCACCA
rnacentral:tRNA from 6 species